CUGAACAAUGAUGAAAAGAUGAUGACUAAAUUUUUAUCAGAUAAAAAGGUAAAGGUACUGCCUUGGCCUACCAUGUCACCUGAUUUAAACCCAGUAGAACAGCUGUGGGGUGUUUUGAAAAGGAUGGUUGAGAAGAAAAAAC